rnacentral:rRNA from 1 species
AGAGUUUGAUCCUGGCUCAGGACGAACGCUGGCGGCGUGCUUAAUACAUGCAAGUCGAACGGGGUCCAACCGGUAGCAAUACCGGGGAAGACCUAGUGGCGAACGGGUGAGUAACACGUGAGCAACCUGCCCCGAAGACUGGGAUAACACCGGGAAACUGGUGCUAAUACCGGAUACCCCCACCGGGCCGCAUAACCUGGUGAGGAAAUGAAUUUCGCUUUGGGAGGGGCUCGCGGGCUAUCAGCUUGUUGGUGAGGUAACGGCUCACCAAGGCUUCGAUGGGUAGCUGGUCUGAGAGGACGAUCAGCCACACUGGGACUGAGACACGGCCCAGACUCCUACGGGAGGCAGCAGUGGGGAAUCUUGCGCAAUGCGCGAAAGCGUGACGCAGCAACGCCGCGUGGGGGAAGAAGGCUUUCGGGUUGUAAACCCCUUUCAGUUGGGACGAAGCUUCGCCGAUGAAUAGUCGGCUGGAGUGACGGUACCUUCACAAGAAGCACCGGCUAACUACGUGCCAGCAGCCGCGGUAAUAC